GGCGGGAUGGCAGAGUGGUCAUGCAGCGGCCUGCAAAGCCGUGAACGCCGGUUCGAUUCCGACUCCCGCCUCCA
rnacentral:tRNA from 1 species